rnacentral:misc_RNA from 1 species
AAAAUGCGAUAAGUAAUGUGAAUUGCAGAAUUCAGUGAAUCAUCGAAUCUUUGAACGCACAUUGCGCCCGCCAGUAUUCUGGCGGGCAUGCCUGUUCGAGCGUCAUUUCAACCCUCAAGCCCCCGGGUUUGGUGUUGGGGAUCGGGUUGCGGUUCUGCCGCGGCCCGGCCCCGAAAUCUAGUGGCGGUCUCGCUGCAGCCUCCAUUGCGUAGUAGCUAACACCUCGCAACUGGAACGCGGCGCGGCCAAGCCGUUAAACCCCCAACUUCUGAAUGUUGACCUCGGAUCAGGUAGGAAUACCCGCUGAACUUAAGC